rnacentral:rRNA from 1 species
AUUGAACGCUGGCGGCGUGCUUAACACAUGCAAGUCGUACGCGAAAGGGACUUCGGUCCCGAGUAAAGUGGCGCACGGGUGAGUAACACGUGGAUGAUCUGCCUCUAUGAUGGGGAUAACAGUUGGAAACGACUGCUAAUACCGAAUACGCUCAUGAUGAACGUUGUGAGGAAAGGUGGCCUCUGCUUGCAAGCUAUCGCAUAGAGAUGAGUCCGCGUCCCAUUAGCUCGUUGGUGGGGUAACGGCCUACCAAGGCAACGAUGGGUAGCCGAUCUGAGAGGAUGAUCGGCCACACUGGAACUGAAACACGGUCCAGACUCCUACGGGAGGCAGCAGUGGGGAAUAUUGCGCAAUGGGCGAAAGCCUGACGCAGCGACGCCGCGUGAGGGAUGAAGGUCUUCGGAUCGUAAACCUCUGUCAGAAGGGAAGAAACUGGGGUGUUCCAAUCAGCAUCCCACUGACGGUAC